rnacentral:rRNA from 1 species
UACGUAGGGGGCGAGCGUUGUCCGGAUUUAUUGGGCGUAAAGAGCUCGUAGGCGGCUUGGCAAGUCGGGUGUGAAACCUCCAGGCUCAACCUGGAGACGCCACUCGAGACUGCUAUGGCUAGAGUCCGGUAGGGGACCACGGAAUUCCUGGUGUAGCGGUGAAAUGCGCAGAUAUCAGGAGGAACACCGGUGGCGAAGGCGGUGGUCUGGGCCGGCACUGAGGCACGAAAGCUAGGGGAGCAAACAGG